rnacentral:tRNA from 1 species
GUUUCGAUAGGAAUUGGUCAACUCAUCAGGCCCAUGACCUGAAGGCCGCAGGUUCGAAUCCUGUCCCCUCCAAAUU